rnacentral:lncRNA from 1 species
AUUACGUUUUUUUAACCUUAGUUCCAUCUACAUGUGGUAUAAAUGUCCCACAACCUCCUCAACAUGCUCGACAACCUUCUGCUGGGUGGAUACUCAAACCUGCAUCUUGUAAUGUGGUAAGAUUUGUAAAGUUUUGUCUCUUUUUUAACACAAUUUAAAGACA